UGAGGUGGCUCUGACAUCCAGU
rnacentral:miRNA from 1 species